rnacentral:ncRNA from 1 species
AGACAGCGCUAUCGCGCUCCUCAGCCCGAACGGCAUCGAAGUAACGACUGGAUAAAGCAAUAUUCUAUUUUUUAGUGAAUG